GAUGAACGCUGGCGGCGUGCUUAACACAUGCAAGUCGAACGAGGUCCAUGGAGCUUGCUCCGGAAGACCUAGUGGCGAACGGGUGCGUAACACGUGAGGAACCUGCCCCGAUCUCUGGGAUAACAGUUGGAAACGACUGCUAAUACCGGAUGCCAUCGCACCGCCUCCUGGCGGAGUGAUGAAAGAUUCAUCGGAUCGGGAGGGCCUCGCGGCCUAUCAGCUAGUUGGAGAGGUAACGGCUCACCAAGGCAUCGACGGGUAGCUGGUCUGAGAGGAUGAUCAGCCACACUGGGACUGAGACACGGCCCAGACUCCUACGGGAGGCAGCAGUGGGGAAUAUUGGACAAUGGGCGAAAGCCUGAUCCAGCCAUGCCGCGUGUGUGAGGAAGGUCUUCGGAUUGUAAAGCACUUUAAGUCGGGAGGAAGGGCUGUAGGUUAAUACCUUGCAGCCUUGACGUUACCGACAGAAUAAGCACCGG
rnacentral:rRNA from 1 species